CUCAAUUAGUUGCCUGACCUUAAAAAUAAUGAAGCAUAGUACAUAUACAAAAUAAUUGAAGGAGAGAGCUUUAGGACUAGUCUUUUCUUCAACCCUAAGACAUAGUUUUGGUCUUGUAUGACUUUGCUAUUUGCCAGCCUGUUUAAUUGUAUGUGCACGUUUGUGUUGAAUGUGUGUAGUCUAACUACGCAAAAGUCAGAUGCAUGCUCAUUGUGUUUGUUUUCACUUGGUGCUUCAUUUUUAUUCUACACUCUGUCAAAAAAAAAUGCUGGCUUGCAAAAUAUUGGCAUCAAACUAAUUAGGCUCUCGGUCCCCACUUCGGUAUUGAUACAAAGCCUGAAUCCCAUGGCAUUUGUUUGUGGAACCUAGGGCAAUGACAGAUUCCAGAUGCUUAAUGUAAUGUCGGAUGCAUUGCACUUAGAAAAAGCAUUCAGUGUAGACAGAACAUUAGUCAACCAAAAUCGAAGUAAAGACCUACAGAUGGAACACACUCCCUUAAUUGCAGAUAGCAGAAUGAGUUGAUGGACGCCUCCAAUAGGGGCACUCUUUUCAUCACGUUUGUGCUCAGGGUUAGGUCAAGAAAAGUCUAAACAUUGUUUCCUGCAAAUAUCUUGAUGUGUACCAGACCCUCGAUGACACUGUCGCAAGUAACCCACCUCUGGGUAAUUUACAUUGAAUUCAUCUUGCAUUUUCUUCUUACCCUUUGCUUCGGGCUUUCAUUUACAUGUCUUGUCCCAGUUCAAGAGGUUAUAGGAAAUAACCCCCAGCACAGAGUGUAUUUUGCCUGUUGUCGACUCAGGAAAACAUUUUCUUAAUCGGUCCCCUGUUGACGUUAAACGUCUGUCGAGCAGGAAUUAUCCGCAAAGCUUCACACAACAACGACGUGGGGUGACGAUAUGACUUGCCUUGGUUGUGCUAACGAUAUGGUUGAAUGGUUGUAAUUUGAUAAGACAUGAAUCACCCGCAAGGCGGCUGCCCUGCACAUUGGGACCGAGACAAGAUUAUGGUGCGCUCAAUUGUUGACUGGCCCAUGGAGACUGUGACAUGAUUUGCUUGCCAUGCUUGAAUUUGGUUUCCUCCAAUUUCUCACCAAUGCUAAUAAAUGAAAGGUUAAAUAUAUCUUAUCGUGAGUUUGAGACUACGGAUAUUAUAUUCACUAGGUAAAGUGGGUGCAUAUAUAGAGGGCGAGGGUGGAGUUGCACACCAUGAUGGAGUGUUUCAUUCUUUUUGAGUGUUUGAGAGAUAGGAUGGUGGAUCAAAAGCAUGACAGUGCACAUUUAGUCUUGCUGCUCCGCAUGAUUGUUUUUCGAAAGCAUGAUAACUCACAAUUGGCAUGACAGCUUGCGACUUCAUUAUUAGCGCGGUCGAAUUUCCUUGCUACCUCACAAUUCGUAUGAAAGUAGCUAGGGUAGUUAACCUGAGCUUUCUUCAUGGCAUCCUCAGCCAUGUCAUCUCUGCCUUGUGAGCCGCAUGACUAUCUAGUACCGACCAUUUAUUGUGUUCGGUAGUGUCACCGCGUGGGGCCAUCAAUGGCACCCUUGUCAUUGUCCCAUCAAUCACGAAACUGAAGUAUUGUUAGUCCUCAAACCCUUGCACAUGCGGCAUGUUAGGGAAACACUUUCCAUCCGUAGUCUGAUAGGAGGUCAUCGUCUGACCUGUCCAACGUCGUCGAUUCAAUUCCAAUCUCACGGUCACAGAUUUUGCAUCAUAUGGAAACAAAUCCCGUCAGCCAAAGCUAACCAACCCGCAAUCCACGCACCUAACCCCUAAUCAAUCGCCCCACCUCGCACACAUACCCCAAGCUAGCCUCGCCAGAUCCCCUCCCCCCGCCUCGCACGGACCUGCCUCCUCCCCGUCGUCGAGCAGCACGGCCAUCUCAUGGGGCAGUUCCGUUUACCUGCUCCUCGCUGCUGCAUCGUCUCUCCACCUACGCGAUCCCCCGGUGACAUCUUAGGUGUGCAAGUGGUGGGUUGAUCCCCAAAUCCUCAUCGACGGUUCAUCCUUCACUAGGUUAUCAUCGGCUGAAUCGGAGUUCACACCUGCUGGACUGUAUAAAGACGCCAUGACCAGCGAGCUCGCAGCCUCAUCACUCCC
rnacentral:lncRNA from 1 species